rnacentral:rRNA from 1 species
UACGGAAGGGGCUAGCGUUGUUCGGAAUGACUGGGCGUAAAGAGCGUGUAGGCGGCUCGAUAAGUCUGCUGUGAAAGUCCAGGGCUCAACCCUGGAAGGCCGGUGGAAACUGUCGGGCUAGAGUCCGGAAGAGGCGAGUGGAAUUCCCGGUGUAGCGGUGAAAUGCGCAGAUAUCGGGAGGAACACCAAUGGCGAAGGCAGCUCGCUGGGACGGUACUGACGCUGAGGCACGA